ACACACACCAUCACACACCUCCCCCAAAGCAACCAGUGGUGCAAACAAACAGAAUAGCAUUCAGGUGCGUCAAGCAGUGACUCAUAUCCACUGGCCUAUCUCUCCAAUAAAGGCACACAAUGUCCACACAAAAAAGUAAGUGCUCUGAUUGUCAGUGUCCUGCAGCUCUCUGCCUUUAUACUCCGUUAUUUUUAACCCACCACGCUUACGCAAAACCACUUCCCCUCCUGUCCCCGAGCCAAGUGGAAAUGGACUCAGUUUCCUGAGGAAAAACUUGACACACGCUUCCUCUACUUUCACUCAGCUGAGGAUGCAGACAUGCAGGGUGUCCUGCUCAUGUGCUGAUGGACUCUGCUGCUGGAAAACUGUUAGACUUGUAUUUAUAUCCAUUGAGCAGAAGUGGUUUCAACAACAUGAUAUGUAUGUUUUCUAAACCCUAACCCAUAAACAACAACAAAAUGAUAGAUCAUGUUUAAAAUGAACUCCAAGGCCACUAA